rnacentral:rRNA from 1 species
UACAGAGGUGGCAAGCGUUGUUCGGAAUUACUGGGCGUAAAGCGCACGUAGGCGGCUUUCUAAGUCAGGGGUGAAAUCCUGGAGCUCAACUCCAGAACUGCCUUUGAUACUGGAGAGCUUGAGUCCGGAAGAGGUGAGUGGAACUCCGAGUGUAGAGGUGAAAUUCGUAGAUAUUCGGAAGAACACCAGUGGCGAAGGCGGCUCACUGGUCCGGUACUGACGCUGAGGUGCGAAAGCGUGGGGAGCAAACAGG